AUUUCAUAAUAAAGACUACUACUGGGAGAGGUAAGAGCCUCUGAAGUACGAAGUUGGAAGCUUUAAUUUUUAUUUGAUACUGGAGGUAGCAUCUCUCCUCCUUUCCUUAUCACCACUCAAAACUGGAGAACACCAAGUCAGCAUGGGAGAAAUGGCAAGUUGACAUACGUCACAUCUGUACUACUUUCACAAGUUCCUUUUUGUCUAUGCAGAAAGUUCUGCUGCACUUCUUCUGUUUCACCGACCUGAAUUUUCUCAGGGUUUAGCUAACUGCUGGCAACUGCAUGGACACAGCCAAAAUAAGGACCCCGCUUCCACCGUGAGUGACUUCUGUGGAGCUGUCUGCACAGAUCAGUCAUGG